CAGUCGCCGCGGGAAUACGGAGGGGGCUAGCGUUGUUCGGAAUUACUGGGCGUAAAGCGCACGUAGGCGGCUUGGUAAGUUAGAGGUGAAAGCCCGGAGCUCAACUCCGGAAUUGCCUUUAAGACUGCCGAGCUAGCAGGUGAGAGAGGUAAGUGGAAUUCCGAGUGUAGAGGUGAAAUUCGUAGAUAUUCGGAAGAACACCAGUGGCGAAGGCGGCUUACUGGCUCAUUCUAGACGCUGAGGUGCGAAAGCGUGGGGAGCAAACAGGAUUAGAUACCCCAGUAGUCCCUGUCUCUUAUAC
rnacentral:rRNA from 1 species